CAGUCGCCGCGGUAAUACGUAGGUGGCAAGCGUUGUCCGGAAUUACUGGGCGUACAGCGCACGUAGGCGGAUAUUUAAGUCAGGGGUGAAAUCCCAGAGCUCAACUCUGGAACUGCCUUUGAUACUGGGUAUCUUGAGUAUGGAAGAGGUGAGUGGAAUUCCGAGUGUAGAGGUGAAAUUCGUAGAUAUUCGGAGGAACACCAGUGGCGAAGGCGGCUCACUGGUCCAUUACUGACGCUGAGGUGCGAAAGCGUGGGGAGCAAACAGGAUUAGAUACCCCCGUAGUCCCUGUCUCUUAUAC
rnacentral:rRNA from 1 species